GAUUCCGUAGCUCAGCUGGUAGAGCAUCUGACUUUUAAUCAGAGGGUCUUGGGUUCGAGUCCCAACGGAAUCA
rnacentral:tRNA from 2 species